UGCAUAGUGGCAAUGCACACCAUGCUUGACGUGCGGAGGGUCACAGGUUCGAGUCCUGUAUCGUCCACCA
rnacentral:tRNA from 1 species